rnacentral:rRNA from 1 species
GUUGGGUUAAGUCCCGCAACGAGCGCAACCCUUGUCCUUAGUUGCCAGCACGUAAUGGUGGGAACUCUAAGGAGACUGCCGGUGACAAACCGGAGGAAGGUGGGGAUGACGUCAAGUCAUCAUGGCCCUUACGGCCAGGGCUACACACGUACUACAAUGGUCGGUACAGAGGGUUGCAAGACCGCGAGGUGGAGCCAAUCCCAGAAAGCCGAUCCCAGUCCGGAUUGGAGUCUGC